rnacentral:rRNA from 1 species
CAAUCCCCUUUUAGAGCCCCUAUCGACAAGGGGGUUUACGACCUCAAUGUUGGAUCAGGACAUCCUAAUGGUGCAACCGCUAUUAAGGGUUCGUUUGUUCAACGAUUAAAGUCCUACG